rnacentral:rRNA from 1 species
AUUGAACGCUGGCGGCAGGCUUAACACAUGCAAGUCGAGCGGUAACAGGAAGAAAGCUUGCUUUCUUUGCUGACGAGCGGCGGACGGGUGAGUAACGCGUAGGAAUCUGCCUAGUAGUGGGGGACAACAUGUGGAAACGCAUGCUAAUACCGCAUACGCCCUACGGGGGAAAGGAGGGGAUCUUCGGACCUUUCGCUAUUAGAUGAGCCUGCGUAAGAUUAGCUAGUUGGUGGGGUAAAGGCUCACCAAGGCGACGAUCUUUAGCUGGUCUGAGAGGAUGAUCAGCCACACUGGGACUGAGACACGGCCCAG